GCUGCGAUGGCCGAGUGGGUAUGUAACCGACUUCUCAUCGAAAGAUGCGAGGGUUCGAACCCCUCUCGCAGCA